UACGUAGGGGGCAAGCGUUGUCCGGAUUUAUUGGGCGUAAAGAGCGUGUAGGCGGCCAUGCAGGUCCGUUGUGAAAACUCGAGGCUCAACCUCGAGACGCCGAUGGAAACCGCAUGGCUAGAGUCCGGAAGAGGAGAGUGGAAUUCCUGGUGUAGCGGUGAAAUGCGCAGAUAUCAGGAGGAACACCAAUGGCGAAGGCAGCUCGCUGGGACGUGACUGACGCUGAGACGCGAAAGCGUGGGGAGCAAACAGG
rnacentral:rRNA from 1 species